rnacentral:rRNA from 1 species
UACAGAGGUCUCAAGCGUUGUUCGGAUUCAUUGGGCGUAAAGGGUGCGUAGGCGGCGCGGUAAGUCGGGUGUGAAAUCUCGGAGCUUAACUCCGAAACUGCAUUCGAUACUGCCGUGCUUGAGGACUGGAGAGGAGACUGGAAUUUACGGUGUAGCGGUGAAAUGCGUAGAUAUCGUAAGGAAGACCAGUGGCGAAGGCGGGUCUCUGGACAGUUCCUGACGCUGAGGCACGAA